rnacentral:rRNA from 1 species
UCAAAGAUAAGCCAUGCAUGUGUCAGUACAAACUAAACCCAAAGUGAAACCGCAAAUGGCUCAUUAAAUCAGCUAUGAUUCAUUGGAUCUGUACACCCAGUUUUCCUUGGAUAACUGUGGUAAUUCUAGAGCUAAUACAUGCACAUAUAGUCCCUAACCUCACGGGAAGGGCGCUUUUAUUAGUAUCAAAACCGGUCUGGCUUCGGUCUGUAAAACCAGUUGUGAUGACUCUGGAUAAUUUAAGCUGAGCGCACGGUCUUUGCACUGGCGCCGCUUCUUUCAAGUGUCUGCCUUAUCAGCUGUCGAUUGUAGGUUAUGUGCCUACAAUGGCUAUAACGGGUAACGGGGAAUCAGGGUUCGAUUCCGGAGAGGGAGCCUGAGAAACGGCUACCACAUCCAAGGAAGGCAGCAGGCACGCAAAUUACCCACUCCCAGCUUGGGGAGGUAGUGACGAAAAAUAACGAUGCGAGACUCAUCCGAGGCCUCGCAAUCGGAAUGAGUACACUUUAAAUCCUUUAACGAGGAUCAAUUGGAGGGCAAGUCUGGUGCCAGCAGCCGCGGUAAUUCCAGCUCCAAUAGCGUAUAUUAAAGUUGUUGCGGUUAAAAAGCUCGUAGUUGGAUUCCAGGAUUGGACUGUAGGUUCGCCGUGAGGCGUUUAAAACCUAUCAGCUUCCGAAACCUGCUAUCACAACAACUUUGUGUAUGCCCACACUAGCUCACACGGGGUGUUCUUAAUUGAGUGCCCCGCGUGGCUGGUAUGUUUACUUUGAAAAAAUUAGAGUGCUCAAAGCAGGCCAACUGAAUGGCCUGAAUGUCUAUGCAUGGAAUAAUGUAAAAGGACCUCGGUUCUAUUUUAUCCGGGCUUUUUGUGGAACCCGAGGUAAUGAUUAAUGGAGAUGAAUGGGGGCUAUUAGUACUGCGACGCU